GACGAACGCUGGCGGCGUGCUUAACACAUGCAAGUCGAACGAACCUUCGGGUUAGUGGCGAACGGGUGAGUAACACGUGGGCAACCUGCCCCGAGCUCUGGGAUAACUCCGGGAAACCGGGGCUAAUACCGGAUAUGAGCAGAGAAGGCAUCUUCUCUGUUGGAAAGUUUUUCGGCUCGGGAUGGGCCCGCGGCCUAUCAGCUUGUUGGUGGGGUAACGGCCUACCAAGGCGACGACGGGUAACCGGCCUGAGAGGGCGACCGGUCACACUGGGACUGAGACACGGCCCAGACUCCUACGGGAGGCAGCAGUGGGGAAUAUUGCGCAAUGGGCGAAAGCCUGACGCAGCGACGCCGCGUGAGGGAUGAAGGCCUUCGGGUUGUAAACCUCUUUCAGCAGGGACGAAGCGAAAGUGACGGUACCUGCAGAAGAAGCACCGGCCAACUACGUGCCAGCAGCCGCAGUAAAAC
rnacentral:rRNA from 1 species